AGAGAUUUAGGUUAAAGUCAGACCGGAGGCCUUCAAAGCCCCCAGCGAGGGUUAAAAUCCCUUAAUUUCUG
rnacentral:tRNA from 1 species